rnacentral:rRNA from 1 species
GACGGAGGAUGCAAGCGUUAUCCGGAAUUAUUGGGCGUAAAGCGUCCGCAGGUGGAUAUACAAGUCUGCUGUCAAAGUGCAGAGCUUAACUCUGUAAAGGCGGUGGAAACUGUAGGUCUUGAGUCCGGAAGAGGCGAGUGGAAUUCCCGGUGUAGCGGUGAAAUGCGCAGAUAUCGGGAGGAACACCAAUGGCGAAGGCAGCUCGCUGGGACGUGACUGACGCUGAGACGCGAAAGCGUGGGGAGCAAACAGGG